rnacentral:tRNA from 1 species
AGCCUUGAAGUAUCACUACGCUAGAUUGCAAAUCUAGAAAAGCAGGUUAAGCGCCGGCCGGGGCUU